GUGACAGAGAAAGAGUAAAAAAAAGAGACAGCCACAAACUAGAUCUCAGAGCUACUGUACCAUGCACAUGGCCAAGUUACAUAACCACUCUUCCAAUUCAACAGAACAUGCACAGAAACAGAAACAGGUUACUAAAAGUCCGAAGCACAAAGAAGGUAUGAAAAUCCUGAAGUCAAUAGUUAGGGAGAUUCAGAUCAUCCCCUCAAGGAGAAGUUGAACAUUUGAACACUGCAAAUUAGCACACCCAUUGUGGGCCAUAAAAAAAUGCGAUCACUCCCCUCAUUUGAUGAUUAGAUGAAUGGCUUGGCAAAAAUCCAUGCGUUAUGUAGGCAAGUGUAUGUUCUGGUUGUUUUGGUGGCAUCCACCAACACCCCUUGUUAAUUGCACAGUCUAGAUAUAGUUUAACAUAAUGACCUCGAGGAACUGAAUCAAAAUACAUAAGACUUUUUUUAUUCACAGUUUCUCCCCUAACCCAUGAAUUCAGGCAGAGGUGAGCCAUGUUUAUGUAACUAGAAGCAGAUGAAAGAAAGAUUGUGUCUAGAUGAUUACUCUGGCACUUUUUUCCCCCAGCAGUCCAGAGGCACCUGUAAUAUUACCUGCCAAGACCUACACUCCAUUAACAUUGUAGUCUGACAGGUUUGUCUGAGUCAGCUUGGUAACAACUGCUUCAGUUCCACAGAGGGAGGGUCUUGCUAUGAAUCCCAGACUGGCAUGAAACUUGAGAUCUUCAACCUCCCUCAUACUGGGAUUACAAGCCUGUGCCACCAUGCCCAGCUGUUUGCAUUUUUAUGUAUUUUGAUGCCAUGGCUCUGUUAUUUUAAUUACUGAGACUUUAUAACAUUUUUUUAUUUAAUUAAGUGUAUUUUUUCUCAUGAUCCAGAGUAAUACUCCUGGCUUUUAAAAACAACUUUAGUCUACAACCAUACUACCCUGACUGCUCCAUCUUGUCUUAAAAACAACUUUAUUGAGGCACUCUUUACUACAACAAAAUGUACCAUUUAACUGUAUAUUUCAAAGUUUUGACAAAUUCAGUCAGGUAACCACCAUCACGAUUUCCAAAAAAUUAAUGAAAGUAUUUUAAAGAGUGUUUCAAAUUAUAACUAGGAAAACUACAAUAAAUUUAUUCCAAUUAAAAUAUGGGGAGGAGAACUAAUAUUCCAUCUACAUAAAUGCAAAAGACUAAUAACUGGAAAUUAAGUAUUGAUCCUAUGGUAAAGCAAAUUAAAACUACAUACCAUUAUUCUACAUCAUUAAUAUAAAACUUCAAAUGUAAAAAUAUUUAAAAUAAACAGAAUCUCAUCAAUCUA